UUUUGUUUCUUGGGAUGUGGUGCUAAGGUGGGUAUAUAAAAUAUUGUUCAAUAGGGACGAAUUAGAGAUUGGGUUAGUGUAUCUAUAGAUAGCUGCGAACAGAGUUAUGAUUUAGUAUUAAUAGUUAGCAAUGAUAGGGGAUUGGUAAAGUUUAUGAGCAUUGAUUCUUAGGCCUUAUGUCUAGGUACGGGUUUAGUCUUGUUUUUGGGGUUUGGCAAGACAGAAAUAGACACGUAUUAUUAUAAAUAAGGUUAACGGGGGGGGGGGGUAAGGGGGGUUUGAUUAAGCUAGUUAUUUACUAAAUCAAAAUGUUUGCAUGUGUAUACGUGUAUACGUGUGUAUGUGUAUGUAUACGUGUACGUAUGUGUACGUGUGUACGUGUACGUGUGUACGUGUACGCAUAUACGUGUACGUGUGUACACGUACGUGUGUACGUGUACGUGUGUACGUGUGUAUGCAUAUACGUGGGUGCACGCUUGCCGUGUCCUGUGAAACAUUAGGAAUUUAAGUAUAUGUCCUGUGACCAUUGACUGAAUUGCACCUUGUUUGUUGUACGUGUGGAGACCCCGCAUAGAGAAUAAGCCCAGCUACAAUAUAUUUGACUGAGUCAGGACCUUUAGGUCAUAGCUGAGUCAUAGCAAGUUUGCCCCCCUAAAAUUAAAAAAUACCAAAUGCAUGACACCACAGUUAUGUGUGAUCAUGGGCUGAUUAGUCAUUAGUCCAUCGAGAUGUCCCAUUUGAGAGAGUUGAAGGAUUGGAUUUGAGGAUUUUAUG